rnacentral:tRNA from 2 species
GCGGGCGUAGCUCAGUUGGUUAGAGCGCCAGAUUGUGGCCCUGGAGGUCGCAAGUUCGAUUCUUGUCGCCCGCCCCA